AGAAGGUCCCUCCGGCGGCGGCGGCGGCGGCGGCGACGCGCGCGGUCCUCGUCGCCGGACGGCCGCAUCCUCGGGCGGCCGGGCGGCGGCCUCGGCGGGCGGCGGCCGCUCCUGUCGCGGGCGGCCGCGGCGGGGACAGCGGCAGGAGGCAGCCCUGCGCGCAGCAGCCGCGCGUCCUCGCUGCGCUCCCACCCGGCCGCCGCCUCCGCCUCCUCUUCCUCCUCCUCGCCGCUGCCCGUCUCCUCGUCGUCGCCCUCCUCGUCGCUAUCGCCCAGUCCCUCCUCCCCUCCCUCCUCCUCCUCCUCGCCGCUCGCCCGCGCCGCCGCCUCCCGGCGCUCGGGGUCCCGCUCCUCCUCGCGCGCCAUGGCUCCCACGCUCCGCGCCCGCGCUCGGCCUGGGGCGGCGGCGCGGCGGGGGCGGCGGGGGCGGCCGGGAGGCGGGGGCGGAGGGGGCAGAGGAGGAGGAGCGGGGAAGGACCGACGGUAGGAGGGCCCGCCGCUGGCCAACUCCGCCGGUUGGCAAAGCCACCCCGGACUGGCUCUGGCCUCGCCGGCUGCAGGAGCGCCUCGCGGGGCCGCCCGCCUAUUCCAUGGUCGGCGCGAUGGGGGCCGGGGCCGGGCCGGAGCGAACAGGGAGCACCGAGCGAGCUGGGAGCAUGAGCUAGCGCAGCUCCCGGCAGCCUGCAGCGGCGAGGCUGGUCGGGCCAGGGUUGGCGGGGGGCAGUGCCUGGGACACAGCCCGGCGCUGGCCGGCAUGGCGGGGAGGGGGCGCGCUGGGAGGAGACUGGGCUGGGGAGGGAUCCCUGUGUGCAGUCCUUCAACCCUUCUGUGCCAGGGGAAGAGGGACGGCGCAGGGGGCCCCCUCUCGGGAAGCACACACGCUGCCUCCCAGAGGCCGAUCUUCACCAAGAAGGAUUCGCUGGAAACUUUCGGAAAACCGAGGGGCUCUUCAGCCUCCUCUCUACGUGCUACCUGGAGUCGGGGCGCCGCGAGUGCGCUUGGCUGCCCGCGCCCAGCCUCUGGCCUCGCCUCUUCUCGCGGGCCUCCCGGGUUUCCCUCUGCCCCCUUGCGGGGAUCCCCCUGUGCGCCCGACUCGGGAUCUGGAACAGGCCUCCCCAGAGGCUGUUAGUUCCAUAAGGGUGUCCGGCUCCCCCCUCUGUCUUGGGCUCACACUUCGCUUUCUGUUCGUGCUGGACCAAGUCCAAUACUGUGGCUGAUCGAAGUGGGGACAGCUGGCACGGUCCCUGGAGAGGCGGCCUGAAGAGGCUUCUGGCCUUGUGCAGGUAACACCAGCCUGCCCUACCUCCAACGUUAGAAUCUUAGUCCUCCCAUUUCCCCCAUUCUAGGUCUCCUGCCCCUCCUUGCUGAAGGUGUGGGCUGCCCUAGAGAUGGCUGGACUCACGACCUGCCGCAGAUUUUGGAGUGAAGGGCACUGUUAAAGUAAAGCACAGAGAG
rnacentral:lncRNA from 1 species